AAGUGGAAGGGCGGGGCCGGGAAUUUCCCCAGUUGCUUUGCGAGGGAAUGUCUCUGGCCCGCCCUGAGCUGGCAUCGAGUCACCGGGCGGGAGGAGUGUGGUCCGCACUUCUUCAUUUAGAGUGGAGGGUGCUCAGCAUCUCACAGGAUUGGAUCCUGCAGCAUUAAGCACCUGGAAGGCUCCAGUGAGAACUGGAGUGCUAACAAGUUAGCAGAAAGAAGAGUUGUUCUUUCCAUUCCAUGGAUCCACUGGGUGCUCCUUCUCAGUUUGUGGAUAUUGACACACUGCCAUGCUGGACUGAUUUGUAUGUGGCAGAACAAUUGGAUUCUCACCAAGCUCCUGUUGAGAGAGCCCAAGUUGACAUUAGGUCACCUUUCCCAUACAGGAAAGACAUCAAUGCCAAAAUAGUCUUGUGGAAAGGAGAUGCGGCCUUACUGAAUUGCACAGCUAUUGUGAACACAAGUAAUGAGUCUCUGUCAGAUAAGAAUCCAGUAUCUGAAAGCAUCUUUAUAAAUGCUGGUCCUGACCUGAGGGAUGAACUUCAGAAACUCAAAGGAUGCCGGACAGGAGAAGCAAAACUGACAGAAGGAUUUAACUUAGCCGCACGUUUCAUCAUUCACACUGUGGGACCCAAGUACAAGAGUCGAUAUCGCACAGCAGCCGAGAGCUCCCUGUACAGCUGUUACCGCAAUGUUCUACAGCUUGCAAAGGAGCAGGCAAUGUCUUCAGUGGGAUUCUGUGUUAUAAAUUCAGUGAAGAGAGGCUACCCCCUAGAGGAUGCAACCCACAUAGCACUGCGCACAGUCAGAAGGUUCCUGGAGAUAUAUGGGGAGACUCUGGAGAAGGUGGUGUUUGCAGUGUCUGAGCUGGAAGAGGUCACUUACAAGAAGUUGCUGCCUCUGUAUUUUCCAAGGUCAUUGGAAGAAGAGAGUCGAUCAUUGCUUUGCCUUCCUGCAGAUAUUGGCAAUGCAGAAGGGGAGCCAGUUGUACCAGAGCGUCAGAUCAGGAUUAGUGAGAAGCCAGGCAUUCCAGAUGAUAACUCUGACGAGGAAGGGCUGGAAGCAGAUCUUUCUUUCAUUGGUUCCCAUGCUUUUGCCCGCAUGGAGGGAGAUGUUGAUAAACAGAGGCGCCUCAUCCUCCAGGGACAGUUGUCAGAGGCAGCACUACAGAAGCAGCAUCAGAGAAAUUACAAUCGCUGGCUGUGUCAAGCGAGAGCUGAAGACCUGUCCGACAUUGCUUCUCUCAAAGCCCUGUAUCAGACAGGUGUGGAUAACUGUGGUCGCACAGUAAUGGUGGUGGUUGGAAGAAAUAUUCCUGUCACAUUGAUAGACAUGGAAAAGGCUAUCUUGUACUUCAUCCAUGUGAUGGACCACAUCACAGUGAAAGAGUACGUCCUAGUGUAUUUUCACACCCUUACAAGUGAUUACAAUCAGCUAGACUCUAACUUCCUGAAAAAACUCUAUGACAUUGUUGACAUCAAGUACAAGAGAAAUUUGAAGGCAUUGUACUUUGUCCACCCAACAUUUCGCUCAAAGUGUCAUCCGUGAAUUUGAACAAGGUACUUUUCACCCCCUCGUCCAAGUCGCUGAUGAAGAUGUUGAACAGUGCAGGUCCGAGGACCGAGCCCUGGGGGACCCCACUGCCUACAUCCCUCCAGGUCGAAAAUGACCCAUCCGCCACCACUCUCUGGGUGCAGCCCUCCAGCCAAUUCGUGACCCAUCUGACUGUGUACGCGUCGACACCACAGUUGCCUAAUUUUUUAACGAGAAUGGGGUGAGAGACAGUGUUGAAGGCCUUCCAAAAGUCCAGAAAGACUACGUGCACCAAGACACCUGCAUCUAAGGAUUUUGUGACCUGGUCAUAGAAGGCAACCAGGUUGGUCUGACAGGACCUGCUCCUAAUGAACCCAUGUUGGUUGCCCCUAAGCAUAAUCUCCUCACAGAUGUGCUCCUGGAUAAUUUUCUCAAAGAGCUUCCCCAGGACUGAGGUAAGACUAAUGGGCUUGUAAUUUCCUGGGUCCUCCUUCCUCCCUUUUUUGAAAAUGGGGACCACAUUGGCCCUUUUCAGUCCUCUGGCACCUCGCCAGAGCACCAUGAGUGCUCAUAAAGCUGUGCCAGGGGUCCUACAGUGACCUCUGCCAAUUCCCUCAGCACUGUGUGGUAGAGAUCAUCUGGACCUGCUGAUUUGAACAUGUCCACCCCACCAGAAGUUUCCUAACUAGGUCCUCUCUGAUCCUAGGCCUGGCUGUGCUUCUCCUGAGUCCAUCCAGAAUCUCGGUGGGGGCAAUGUCCUGGUCCGUGCUCAGAAAAAUGGAGGCAAAGAAUUUGUUAAAGAGGUAUCAGCAUGGUUUUUCACAACCUUUACUGUCUCAGGGCUAAAGGACAAAAUCCACUAUGUAGAAAGCCUUCAACAGUUGUUCACA